UUCUAAAAUUCAGGAGCAUGGACAAACUUUCUGCCCGUUGGGGCAUAAUUUCUGUUUUUCGUCCUUGUCCGUGGAGAAGCCGUCUUCCUCCUCUUGCAGAAGCUCUCCGCAUGCAGCUGCCCAUUCUCGUAUCGCACGUCUGCAUCAACUCCUCUUCCACGUCUCUGUCGAGUUAUGACUUGUGACCUAAUUUUGGUGAUGGCUGGUCAAAUUUGUCGUGGGAAAGGGAAGGCUCAAUGAGGCAGCACAUUGUUGUAGACAGGCUUUAGCAGUCGCUGUCUGCAUAUGUUGCCAGCAACCAAAACUGGUUUGAUAUCGGCAUUUCCAAUGGGUUAAACACUUGCUAGAAGAUAGAGUCUAUACAUAGGAUUGGGUUGCAACUCAUUACCAAGAGAUUGGAGUAACUUCGGAUC